rnacentral:rRNA from 1 species
ACGGAAGGCAGCAGUGGGGAAUAUUGCACAAUGGGGGAAACCCUGAUGCAGCGACGCCGCGUGAGUGAAGAAGUAUUUCGGUAUGUAAAGCUCUAUCAGCAGGAAAGAAAAUGACGGUACCUGACUAAGAAGCCCCGGCUAACUACGUGCCAGCAGCCGCGGUAAUACGUAGGGGGCAAGCGUUAUCCGGAUUUACUGGGUGUAAAGGGAGCGUAGACGGCUUUGCAAGUCUGAAGUGAAAGCCCGGGGCUCAACCCCGGAACUGCUUUGGAAACUGUAGAGCUAGAGUGCAGGAGAGGUAAGUGGAAUUCCUAGUGUAGCGGUGAAAUGCGUAGAUAUUAGGAGGAACACCAGUGGCGAAGGCGGCUUACUGGACUGUAACUGACGUUGAGGCCCGAAGGCGUGGGGAGCAAACAGGAUUAGAUACCCUGGUA